rnacentral:rRNA from 1 species
UACGAGGGGGGCGAGCGUUGUUCGGAAUUAUUGGGCGUAAAGGGUGCGUAGGCGGUUUGGUAAGUCUUGUGUGAAAUCUCCAGGCUCAACUUGGAGUCUGCACGAGAAACUGCCGGGCUUGAGUGUGGGAGAGGUGAGUGGAAUUCCUGGUGUAGCGGUGAAAUGCGUAGAUAUUCGCAAGAACACCAGUGGCGAAGGCGGCUCACUGGCCCGGUACUGACGCUGAGGUGCGAAAGCGUGGGGAGCAAACAGG